rnacentral:misc_RNA from 1 species
ACAAGGAUAUAAUUCAAUACUCCUACAGCUUGUAACUGGUGAUAAAAGUACCUGUUCUAAGGCAAUUAAUGCAACAGUCUGGGAUCUGAACUAUCCUUCUUUUGCACUUUCAGCCACAAGAUUAGAAUUUGUUAAGCAAGUUUUUAACAGGAUUGUCACAAAUGUUGGAUCACCAACAUCCAAAUACAAGGCUACAGUGACUGCCCCUCCAGGACUCAAAAUCCAAGUAAAACCCAGCAUCUUAUCAUUUACUUCUCUGGGUGAGAAGAAAGCAUUUGCACUUACAGUUGAAGGAAGAGCAAGUAGGUCUAUGGUCUCUGCAUCUUUGGUGUGGGAUGAUG